CCAUUCACUGGUUCAAAGAUUUCAGGCUAAAAAACAUACAGUUCAGUCCAGAGGUUAACAAACUAUGGUCCAAAAAAAAAAAAAAAAAACUAUGGUCCACAAACAAAAUCCUGCUUACAGCUUUUGUUUAUAAAUAAAGUUUUAUUGGAACACAACCACACUCAUUCAUUUACACAUGGCCUAUGACUGCCUUCACAGCAUAAUGCUGAGUAGUUGUCACGGAGACUGUAUAGCCCACAAAGCCUGAAAUAUUUACUAUCUGGCUCUUUACAAAGCAAUGUGCUGACCAUUGUACUGGGAGGCUGGGAGGGCAAAGUCAUUUGGAAUUGGUUGGUUGGCUUUAUGUAUGUCAACAGAACAGAGAACUAUGUGACCAGAAAAAGGGACCAGGGUUGCUGUCUGAAGGGAAGAAAACUUUGCAAUGUAGAGAAGACAGAUUAGCAGAAGAAAACUUCCCUCUGGAAGCCACUGAUCUCAUUGAGGAGAUAAAAUACAGACUAAUGGGAAUUCUGCAUUCACUGGGAGAAUGA
rnacentral:lncRNA from 12 species